CGCCAUGAAAGUUGGAGUCUUUUUGGUAUUUGUGUGCGAUGUGAGGAAAUGGGGUUUGGUUUUAAAGAGAAUUUGAAUAUGUGAUAGUGAUAGUGAGGUUCUUGAUGGAAUAUGAAUAAGUCUCUGCUUUGGAAUUCAACUUUGUCCUCUGUUUUGCGUGGAAGAGUCUGUGUUGAUGGCAAUGAAAGAUUAGUGUUUUUACUUUUUACAAGGUCAAACACGCUUUCUUUCUCUCUUCAAUCUUAUUAGUUCUAGUUCUUUAAAAACCUCCUCUUAACUGCAAUAACCACCUUCAAUUCUCAUAUUUUCUUUUUAUUUUUUAAUAAUUAAUUAUUUAACCUACCCCACCAAAGGAUUCAUCACCUUCCAAUUAUCUUUUUUCUCUCCACAUGGUACAAGAAUGCAC
rnacentral:lncRNA from 1 species